CUGCUCAGAUUGAACGCUGGGCGGCAUGCCUUACACAUGCAAGUCGAACGGCAGCACGGGAGCAAUCCUGGUGGCGAGUGGCGAACGGGUGAGUAAUAUAUCGGAACGUGCCCAGUCGUGGGGGAUAACGCAGUGAAAGCUGUGCUAAUACCGCAUACGAUCUCUGGAUGAAAGCGGGGGACUCGGCAACGAGCCUCGCGCGAUUGGAGCGGCCGAUAUCAGAUUAGCUAGUUGGUGGGGUAAAAGCCCACCAAGGCGACGAUCUGUAGCUGGUCUGAGAGGACGACCAGCCACACUGGAACUGAGACACGGUCCAGACUCCUACGGGAGGCAGCAGUGGGGAAUUUUGGACAAUGGGCGAAAGCCUGAUCCAGCAAUGCCGCGUGCAGGAUGAAGGCCUUCGGGUUGUAAACUGCUUUUGUACGGAACGAAAAAGUCUGCCCUAAUACGGUGGGCCCAUGACGGUACCGUAAGAAUAAGCACCGGCUAACUACGUGCCAGCAGCCGCGGUAAUACGUAGGGUGCGAGCGUUAAUCGGAAUUACUGGGCGUAAAGCGUGCGCAGGCGGUUAUAUAAGUCAGAUGUGAAAUCCCCGGGCUCAACCUGGGACCUGCAUUUGAGACUGUAUAGCUAGAGUACGGUAGAGGGGGAUGGAAUUCCGCGUGUAGCAGUGAAAUGCGUAGAUAUGCGGAGGAACACCGAUGGCGAAGGCAAUCCCCUGGACCUGUACUGACGCUCAUGCACGAAAGCGUGGGGAGCAAACAGGAUUA
rnacentral:rRNA from 1 species